AUUGAACGCUGGCGGCAGGCCUAACACAUGCAAGUCGAGCGGAUGAAGGGAGCUUGCUCCUGGAUUCAGCGGCGGACGGGUGAGUAAUGCCUAGGAAUCUGCUUGGUAGUGGGGGAUAACGUCCGGAAACGGGCGCUAAUACCGCAUACGUCCUGCGGGAGAAAGUGGGGGAUGUUCGGACCUCACGCUAUCAGAUGAGCCUAGGUCGGAUUAGCUAGCUGGUGGGGUAAAGGCCUACCAAGGCGACGAUUCGUAACUGGUCUGAGAGGAUGAUUAGUCCCACUGGAAGUGGGACACGGUCCAGGCUCCUACGGGAGGCAGCAGUGGGGAAUAUUGGACAAUGGGCGAAAGCCUGGUCCAGCGAGGCCGCGUGUGUGAAGAAGGUCUUCGGAUUGUAAAGCACUUUAAGUUGGGAGGAAGGGCAGUAAGUUAAUACCUUGCUGUUUUGACGUUACCAACAGAAUAAGCACCGGCUAACUUCGUG
rnacentral:rRNA from 1 species